UUUCCCGUAGUAGCCUAGGAGUGAUCCUCGGAGUCUUUCCUCAUUAUCCUUCGAGCAUCCUUGAAGUCAUCCUUGUGCUUCUUCUUUAGUUCCCUUUAUCCUUUGCGAUCUUUGGAGUUAUCCUUGUUCUCCUCGGGCUCCUUCUCUCCGUGUCCUUUGGGAAUCCUUGGUGCUAUCCUUGGGCUCUUCCCUUCGUAUCCCUGAGCAUCCUUGGAAUUCUCCUCGGGCUCUUUUCCUCGUAUCCUUUGGGCAUCCUUGGAGCUAUCCUUGGACCCUUUUCCUCGUAUCCCUGAGCUAAUAGAAUCAACGUGUUCAGGUCCGGCACUUUGUACGCCCUAAGGAAGAUCCUUAAGCUUGGGGUGCAGUUUUCCUUGAUGAUCUUUAAGGUGUCUCUCGCAGAGUAGUUUAGUGGCCUCGACAUCGUCUGCAUGUCGAUCAUGUAGUCUUUAACUGACUCAAUGAAACCAUGUUUUCGUUGCCUGCCUGAUCCGACAGCCUUGUGAAGAAAUCUCUCGGCAGAAAGUAAAGAUGGAAGCUCUUAAUGAACUGU